rnacentral:rRNA from 1 species
AUUGAACGCUGGCGGCAUGCCUUACACAUGCAAGUCGAACGGCAGCACGGGUGCUUGCACCUGGUGGCGAGUGGCGAACGGGUGAGUAAUACAUCGGAACAUGUCCUGUAGUGGGGGAUAGCCCGGCGAAAGCCGGAUUAAUACCGCAUACGAUCUACGGAUGAAAGCGGGGACCUUCGGGGCCCGCGCUAUAGGGUUGGGCGAUGGCUGAUUAGCUAGUUGGGGGGGUAAAGGCCUACCAAGGCGACGAUCAGUAGCUGGUCUGAGAGGACGACCAGCCACACUGGGACUGAGACACGGCCCAGACUCCUACGGGAGGCAGCAGUGGGGAAUUUUGGACAAUGGGCGAAAGCCUGAUCCAGCAAUGCCGCGUGUGUGAAGAAGGCCUUCGGGUUGUAAAGCACUUUUGUCCGGAAAGAAAUCCUUGGCCCUAAUACGGUCGGGGGAUGACGGUACCGGAAGAAUAAGCACCGGCUAACUACGUG